GUAGCCUUGCUGCAGCAAGCCUCCAGCUCGCGGUCUCUCGCCGAGGACCAAGAGACAUUGGUGUGCAGGAGAUUCUGUGCGUGUGUUUGUCAUUCCCGUGUGGAAUUUGUUUCAAAGACGUUGUCAUCUGUGUAGAAGCCAGUUUCAAUCUCUGGACUCUACCCCUUGCCCUGCUGGCAGGGCAUUGAGCGGCACCCGUUGCCGGCCACCUGGGUGCGGAGAUCGAGGAGGGUGAAGGGAGGAGCAACCCUGAGCAUCUGCCAUUCUGCUCCAUCUGAUCUAGAUUCCAGGAUGGAGCGAAUCAGGCAGAUGAUCAGGAGGGAGGCCGGGCAGGUGGCUCCACAGCCAGAAGAAGACAUCAGCCAGCCUGCCCAGGUGGAGAGCAGCCCCUCUGUUCCCGCGGGCGGGGAAGAGGCUCGUGGCCAGGGGAAAGAGAGGAGCUGCUUCGCCUGCUGGAGGAGGCGGAAGACAGCAGCUCCUCUAGCUGACCCUGCGGCACCUUCUGGGAUGAAACGGAGGUGGCCCCAUGUUCAGCUGUGGAGGAGAGAGCCAGGGGAGGGCAGGAGCCGGGGAUGGCAGCUCUGGGGCUUCCUUUGCAGGAAGCCAAGGAGCCAGGAGCUGCGCCCAGGGCCCAGCAGGAGCCGCCAACCACCCUGGCCCCAGAGGAGCCUCCCGCCAGCACCACCCUGGCCCCAGAGGAGCCUCCCGCCAGCACCACCCUGGCCCCAGAGGAGCAUCCCGCCAGCACCACCCUGGCAACUGCGGAGCCUCCCGCCAGCCCCACCCUGGCCAUGGAGGAGCCUCCUGCCUGCCCCACCCUGGCACCUGCGGCGCCUCCUCCCAGCCCAGAGCAGGAGUUGAGCAACUGCGGGACAAACACCAGCAGCUCUGUAUUCUCCUGCAGGGCCAGCAGCUCCUCCGUGGGGUCUGGCAGCCCUGUGUUGCUAGGCUCCCUCUUUGGAGACACCCCCAGUGCCCAGGUGUCAUGGCCUGAGGAGGAGGAGGAGGAGGAGGA